GGUGAAGCCCAGCUUGCUGGGUGGAUCAGUGGCGAACGGGUGAGUAACACGUGAGCAACCUGCCCUCCACUUCGGGAUAAGCCUUGGAAACGGGGUCUAAUACCGGAUAUGAGCUCGCAUCGCAUGGUGUGGGUUGGAAAGUUUUUCGGUGGGGGAUGGGCUCGCGGCCUAUCAGCUUGUUGGUGGGGUGAUGGCCUACCAAGGCGUCGACGGGUAGCCGGCCUGAGAGGGCGACCGGCCACACUGGGACUGAGACACGGCCCAGACUCCUACGGGAGGCAGCAGUGGGGAAUAUUGCACAAUGGGCGCAAGCCUGAUGCAGCGACGCCGCGUGAGGGAUGACGGCCUUCGGGUUGUAAACCUCUUUCAGCAGGGAAGAAGCGCAAGUGACGGUACCUGCAGAAGAAGCGCCGGCUAACUACGUGCCAGCAGCCGCGGUAAUACGUAGGGCGCAAGCGUUGUCCGGAAUUAUUGGGCGUAAAGAGCUCGUAGGCGGUCUGUCGCGUCUGGUGUGAAAUCCCGAGGCUCAACCUCGGGCUUGCAUCGGGUACGGGCAGACUAGAGUGCGGUAGGGGAGACUGGAAUUCCUGGUGUAGCGGUGGAAUGCGCAGAUAUCAGGAGGAACACCGAUGGCGAAGGCAGGUCUCUGGGCCGCAACUGACGCUGAGGAGCGAAAGCAUGGGGAGCGAACAGGAUUAGAUACCCUGGUAGUCCAUGCCGUAAACGUUGGGCACUAGGUGUGGGGCUCAUUCCACGAGUUCCGUGCCGCAGCUAACGCAUUAAGUGCCCCGCCUGGGGAGUACGGCCGCAAGGCUAAAACUCAAAGGAAUUGACGGGGGCCCGCACAAGCGGCGGAGCAUGCGGAUUAAUUCGAUGCAACGCGAAGAACCUUACCAAGGCUUGACAUGUACGAGAAAGCCCCCGAGACGGGGUUCUCUUUGGACACUCGUACACAGGUGGUGCAUGGUUGUCGUCAGCUCGUGUCGUGAGAUGUUGGGUUAAGUCCCGCAACGAGCGCAACCCUCGUCCUAUGUUGCCAGCGGGUUAUGCCGGGGACUCAUGGGAGACUGCCGGGGUCAACUCGGAGGAAGGUGGGGAUGACGUCAAAUCAUCAUGCCCCUUAUGUCUUGGGCUUCACGCAUGCUACAAUGGCCGGUACAGAGGGCUGCGAUACCGUAAGGUGGAGCGAAUCCCAAAAAGCCGGU
rnacentral:rRNA from 1 species